GAAGCAGGCCGGGCGGCCGCGGCCGGACGCGAAAGCUCCGGUCGAGGAAAGUCGGGCCUCCGCAGGGCAGGACGGUGGGUAACACCCACCCGGAGCGAUCCGGGGACAGUGCCACAGAAACGGUACCGCCAGCGGCCGCGGACGAUGGGCCGAGCACCAGGGCCAGGCCCCGUCGGCGGUGCGGGCAAGGGUGAAACGGUGGGGUAAGAGCCCACCAGCGCGAGGGGUGACCCUCGCGGCUCGGUAAACCCCGUCCGGAGCAAGGCCAAGCAGGGAGCGUUUUCCGGCGGCCCGCCGGAACGAUCCGCAAGGAUCUACGCUCUCGGGUAGGCCGCACGAGGCCGGCGGUGACGCCGGCCCCAGAGAGAUGGCCGCCCCGCCGCCCCGGCGCGAGCCGGACGCGACGGACAGAAGCCCGCUUACAGACCGGCUUCCGAA
rnacentral:RNase_P_RNA from 1 species